rnacentral:lncRNA from 1 species
CGCCGUGCACGAACCACCCACCGGUCCUCGCCGAACCUGUCUGAGCCGUUCCUCAAGCACCUAAUACCAGAGCCCUAGCCCAAAUUCGAGUCUAGCGAGUCAACAACUCCAGAUCUCACAGAAUCAACCGGAUCUCCCAUAUCCGUUCAACUCCGCCGUUGUCGCCGCCAACGGAUUCCGUUGCUUUUCCCACAUAUCGACAGCGACGACAUCGUCUCCGCCUUCGAAGAAAACUCCAACCCGGCGACCAUCCUAGUGCAAUCUUGCCUCUCUCCAGCAUCGUCGAACUAGAACUCUGAUAUGGAAAGUCAAACUCGACGAGAUCCGGCGGAUACGGUGUGCUGUCAAAGCCAUCCAAGACGAAAACUCAGACCUUAACUGCGUCAUCUUCACAGGCGACAAUGACUUCUCCCCCGACUCAUUGACCGCCCGAGCUGCAUAUCGAUCG